rnacentral:rRNA from 1 species
GUUAAUGGGUGAUGGCGUGCCUUUUGUAGAAUGAACCGGCGAGUUACGAUUUGAUGCAAGGUUAAGCAGUAAAUGUGGAGCCGUAGCGAAAGCGAGUCUGAAUAGGGCGUUUAGUAUUUGGUCGUAGACCCGAAACCAGGUGAUCUACCCUUGGUCAGGUUGAAGUUCAGGUAACACUGAAUGGAGGACCGAACCGACUUACGUUGAAAAGUGAGCGGAUGAACUGAGGGUAGCGGAGAAAUUCCAAUCGAACCUGGAGAUAGCUGGUUCUCUCCGAAAUAGCUUUAGGGCUAGCCUCAAGUGAUGAUUAUUGGAGGUAGAGCACUGUUUGGACGAGGGGCCCCUCUCGGGUUACCGAAUUCAGACAAACUCCGAAUGCCAAUUAAUUUAACUUGGGAGUCAGAACAUGGGUGAUAAGGUCCGUGUUCGAAAGGGAAACAGCCCAGACCACCAGCUAAGGUCCCAAAAUAUAUGUUAAGUGGAAAAGGAUGUGGCGUUGCCCAGACAACUAGGAUGUUGGCUUAGAAGCAGCCAUCAUUUAAAGAGUGCGUAAUAGCUCACUAGUCGAGUGACACUGCGCCGAAAAUGUACCGGGGCUAAACAUAUUACCGAAGCUGUGGAUUGUCCUUUGGACAAUGGUAGGAGAGCGUUCUAAGGGCGUUGAAGCAUGAUCGUAAGGACAUGUGGAGCGCUUAGAAGUGAGAAUGCCGGUGUGAGUAGCGAAAGACGGGUGAGAAUCCCGUCCACCGAUUGACUAAGGUUUCCAGAGGAAGGCUCGUCCGCUCUGGGUUAGUCGGGUCCUAAGCUGAGGCCGACAGGCGUAGGCGAUGGAUAACAGGUUGAUAUUCCUGUACCACCUAUAAUCGUUUUAAUCGAUGGGGGGACGCAGUAGGAUAGGCGAAGCGUGCGAUUGGAUUGCACGUCUAAGCAGUAAGGCUGAGUAUUAGGCAAAUCCGGUACUCGUUAAGGCUGAGC